AUACGGAGGAUGCAAGCGUUAUCCGGAUUUAUUGGGUUUAAAGGGUGCGUAGGCGGUUUGCUAACCGGGAGGGGAAAUGCCGGCGCUCAACGUCGGAAGUGCCUCCCGAACUGGUGGACUGGAAUGACUCUGCCGUGGGAGGAAUGUGUAGUGUAGCGGUGAAAUGCUUAGAGAUUACACAGAACACCGAUUGCGAAGGCAUCUCACGAAGGGUUGAUUGACGCUGAGGCACGAAAGCGUGGGGAUCAAACAGGAUUAGAUACCCUGGUAGUCCACGCAGUAAACGAUGAUGGCUAACCGCUGGUUUUUUCGGAUCAGUGGCCAAGCGAAAGCGAUAAGCCAUCCACCUGGGGAGUACGACCGCAAGGUUGAAACUCAAAUGAAUUGACGGGG
rnacentral:rRNA from 1 species